rnacentral:rRNA from 1 species
GAUGAACGCUGGCGGCGUGCCUAAUACAUGCAAGUCGAGCGAACGGACGAGGAGCUUGCUUCUCUGAUGUUAGCGGCGGACGGGUGAGUAACACGUGGAUAACCUACCUAUAAGACUGGGAUAACUUCGGGAAACCGGAGCUAAUACCGGAUGAUAUUUUGAACCGCAUGGUUCAAAAGUGAAAGACGGUCUUGCUGUCACUUAUAGAUGGAUCCGCGCUGCAUUAGCUAGUUGGUAAGGUAACGGCUUACCAAGGCAACGAUGCAUAGCCGACCUGAGAGGGUGAUCGGCCACACUGGAACUGAGACACGGUCCAGACUCCUACGGGAGGCAGCAGUAGGGAAUCUUCCGCAAUGGGCGAAAGCCUGACGGAGCAGCGCCGCGUGAGUGAUGAAGGUCUUCGGAUCGUAAAACUCUGUUAUUAGGGAAGAACAUAUGUGUAAGUAACUGUGCACAUCUUGACGGUACCUAAUCAGAAAGCCACGGCUAACUACGUG